rnacentral:lncRNA from 1 species
UUUAAGGACUGGUGACAAAAAAAAAAAGACAGAACAUAAUAAUUGGAUGAGCAUUGUAAUAGGCCCAAUUUGCCCGGGCCCAAAAGCACAAAUAAAAAAACCAAAUAAAUAAAAAUAUAAAAGUCCCGUAAAUUAAUGUCCAAAUUUACAAAAAAACUCAUCAGACCCAAAACACUAGCCUAGCCCAAUAUCCCCAACCCAAUUAACCUAGCCCAAACACUAAACCCAAUUAGCCUAAACCUAAACCCAAUACCCCAGCCCAAAACACAAAACGACACAUGGAAACCCUAGCAGCAAGG